AGCAGAGCAACCACCGCCACAGCAAUGGGGACAUCAGCAGCAAUGGGUCACACAGCUUCCCUUGCAACGAGGCAGAUGGUUUGUGUAUUUCUAGCGUGCCCGUCUCCAGCAGCAGGGAGAGGUGGAUCUUCUUGAACAUUGCGGUAACCAGCGUCCACAGCACGGGCUGUGACAGGGCUCCAGCACAACCCUGCCGGCCUCUCCAGCGGAGCCCUCCGCAGCCCCCGGUGUGGAGCCAGCAAACCUCCAGGGUACAGCCGAGUGCUUCCAGCACCUAUGAGACUUCCCAAGAACCAAAAUCAGGCUUCUACCCUGGCUUAGUCUAAAAGGGCCACCAUCUUAACGCUGUAUGGAAUAUUUCUAUGACUCACUAUAAAUCACACCAUUGUCAUCUAGACUGGGAUGAGAACAAUAAAAAAAGUGGAUUUGAAUAAUGCCCUUUGCACCCCUGCGAGAGCAGAAGCAGUGCUAGAACAACGACUGCAAAGGUCAAUGGCAAAGACUCAAACAAUGCAGGAAAUCCCAUCGCCCGCAGUUGCCAAAGUACGUGCUGGCAGCAUGUGAAACAGUCUGAACUCUGAACAAUAAAGAAGUGUGAUAAU